UGCAGCUUGAGGCUCUGUCCUCUCAUUCUGUCACUUAUUUUCUGACACCCAGCUGGCUACAACCUCUCUUGCAGGUCUGGCAGCUCCAGACAAAGUUUAUUAGAGAAGCCCUCCUGUUGAGUCACGAGGCAGUUGUAGAGAGUGAUAAAGUGUUCCCUGAGGCUUCUCCUCUCCCCCUCAACUGAUGCCUCUGGACCUAUCCAACAACAUACAACAUACCUGAUUGUGGGUGCUGUUGGCCACAAAAGAGAAUUUCAAAGUCUUUAUACUCCAAAGUUGUAAAUCCAUUAUGAUAAGUGUGGCCUGAGAAACACUAUCCAGCCUGGCUAUUGAUCUUCAAGCAAAAUGACC